AACGCACAUUGCGCCCGCCAGCAUUCUGGCGGGCAUGCCUGUUCGAGCGUCAUUUCAACCCUCAAGCCUCUCCGGGUUUGGCGUUGGGGAUCGGCCCCGCUCCGGCGGCCGGCCCCGAAAUCUAGUGGCGGCCUCGCCGUAGCAUCCUCUGCGUAGUAGAAACACCUCGCACUGGGACGCGGCGCGGCCACGCCGUAAAACAGACGAAUACUUCUGAAAGGUUGACCUCGGAUCAGGUAGGAAUACCCGCUGAACUUAA
rnacentral:misc_RNA from 1 species